GGGGCAAUAUGAUAAUUGGUAGUCGGUUAUACUUGCAAUAUAAAAUAUGAUAGUUCGAAUCUAUCUUUCUCCA
rfam:Phlebia centrifuga strain FBCC195 PHLCENscaffold_2975, whole genome shotgun sequence.